rnacentral:rRNA from 1 species
GACGAACGCUGGCGGCGUGCUUAACACAUGCAAGUCGAACGAUGAUGCCAGCUUGCUGGUGGAUUAGUGGCGAACGGGUGAGUAACACGUGAGCAACCUGCCCCUGACUUCGGGAUAACCGCGGGAAACCGUGGCUAAUACCGGAUAUGACGCGCUAUCGCAUGGUGGUGUGUGGAAAGAUUUAUCGGUUGGGGAUGGGCUCGCGGCCUAUCAGCUUGUUGGUGGGGUGAUGGCCUACCAAGGCGACGACGGGUAGCCGGCCUGAGAGGGUGACCGGCCACACUGGGACUGAGACACGGCCCAGACUCCUACGGGAGGCAGCAGUGGGGAAUAUUGCACAAUGGGCGCAAGCCUGAUGCAGCGACGCCGCGUGAGGGAUGACGGCCUUCGGGUUGUAAACCUCUUUCAGUAGGGAAGAAGGCCUUCGGGUUGACGGUACCUGCAGAAGAGGCGCCGGCUAACUACGUG